rnacentral:rRNA from 1 species
AGUAAAAGUCGUAACAAGGUCUCCGUUGGUGAACCAGCGGAGGGAUCAUUACAGAGUUAUCCAACUCCCAAACCCAUGUGAACUUAUCUCUUUGUUGCCUCGGCGCAAGCUACCCGGGACCUCGCGCCCCGGGGGGCCCGCCGGCGGACAAACCAAACUCUGUUAUCUUCGUUGAUUAUCUGAGUGUCUUAUUUAAUAAGUCAAAACUUUCAACAACGGAUCUCUUGGUUCUGGCAUCGAUGAAGAACGCAGCGAAAUGCGAUAAGUAAUGUGAAUUGCAGAAUUCAGUGAAUCAUCGAAUCUUUGAACGCACAUUGCGCUCAUUAGUAUUCUAGUGGGCAUGCCUGUUCGAGCGUCAUUUCAACCCCUAAGCACAGCUUAUUGUUGGGCGUCUACGUCUGUAGUGCCUCAAAGACAUUGGCGGAGCGGCAGCAGUCCUCUGAGCGUAGUAAUUCUUUAUCUCGCUUUUGUUAGGCGCUGCCCCCCCGGCCGUAAAACCCCCCAUUUUUUCUGGUUGACCUCGGAUCAGGUAGGAAUACCUGCUGAACUUAAGCAUAUCAAUAAGCGGAGGA